rnacentral:rRNA from 1 species
GACGAACGCUGGCGGCGUGCUUAACACAUGCAAGUCGAACGGAAAGGCCCUGCCUUUGUGGGGUGCUCGAGUGGCGAACGGGUGAGUAACACGUGAGUAACCUGCCCUUGACUUUGGGAUAACUUCAGGAAACUGGGGCUAAUACCGGAUAGGAGCUCCUGCUGCAUGGUGGGGGUUGGAAAGUUUCGGUGGUUGGGGAUGGACUGGCGGCUUAUCAGCUUGUUGGUGGGGUAGUGGCUUACCAAGGCUUGGACGGGUAGCCGACCUGGGAGGGUGACCGGCCAAAGUGGGACUGGGAUGCGGCCCGGACUCCAACGGGAGGCGGAGGUGCAGAAGAUUACACUGUAGGAGGAAGCAUGGUGUAACAACGCAGCGCGGGGGAUGACGGCCUUCGGGUUGGGAACCAAUUUCGCCUUUGACGAGGCGUGAGUGACGGUAAUGGGUAAAGAAGCACCGGCUAACUACGUG